rnacentral:rRNA from 1 species
GAUAGUGGCGACGGGUGAGUAACACGUGGGCAAUCUGCCCUGCACUCUGGGACAAGCCCUGGAAACGGGGUCUAAUACCGGAUACGACACGGGACCGCAUGGUCUUCGUGUGGAAAGCUCCGGCGGUGCAGGAUGAGCCCGCGGCCUAUCAGCUUGUUGGUGAGGUAAUGGCUCACCAAGGCGACGACGGGUAGCCGGCCUGAGAGGGCGACCGGCCACACUGGGACUGAGACACGGCCCAGACUCCUACGGGAGGCAGCAGUGGGGAAUAUUGCACAAUGGGCGAAAGCCUGAUGCAGCGACGCCGCGUGAGGGAUGACGGCCUUCGGGUUGUAAACCUCUUUCAGCAGGGAAGAAGCGAAAGUGACGGUACCUGCAGAAGAAGCGCCGGCUAACUACGUGCCAGCAGCCGCGGUAAUACGUAGGGCGCAAGCGUUGUCCGGAAUUAUUGGGCGUAAAGAGCUCGUAGGCGGCUUGUCACGUCGGAUGUGAAAGCCCGGGGCUUAACCCCGGGUCUGCAUUCGAUACGGGCAGGCUAGAGUUCGGUAGGGGAGAUCGGAAUUCCUGGUGUAGCGGUGAAAUGCGCAGAUAUCAGGAGGAACACCGGUGGCGAAGGCGGAUCUCUGGGCCGAUACUGACGCUGAGGAGCGAAAGCGUGGGGAGCGAACAGGAUUAGAUACCCUGGUAGUCCACGCCGUAAACGGUGGGCACUACGUGUGGGCAACAUUCCACGUUGUCCGUGCCGCAGCUAACGCAUUAAGUGCCCCGCCUGGGGAGUACGCGCACGCUAAAACUCAAGGAUUGACGGGGGCC